rnacentral:rRNA from 1 species
GACGAACGCUGGCGGCGUGCUUAACACAUGCAAGUCGAACGAAGUGGCGAACGGGUGAGUAACGCGUAAUCAACCUGCCCUUCAGAGGGGGACAACAGUGGGAAACGACUGCUAAUACCGAAUACUGAAGGAGGGGAUGGCGUAUGAGUAGCGAGUUGGAGGGGUAACGGCCCACCAAGGCGAUGAUCAGUAGCCGGUCUGAGAGGAUGAACGUCCACAUUGGGACUGAGACACGGCCCAGCCGCCUACGGGAGGCAGCAGUGGGGAAUCUUCCGCAAUGGACGAAAGUCUGACGGAGCAACGCCGCGUGAGUGAUGACGGCCUUCGGGUUGUAAAGCUCUGUUAAUCGGGACGCGGUACCGGAAUAGAAAGCCACGGCUAACUACGUGCCAGCCGCCGCGGUAAUAC